UUUAAUCCCAGCACUCAGGAAGAAGAGCAGGUGGAUCUCUAUCUUCUGUGGCUCCACAUCCAUCUGCUAUUCUUAGGACCAGGCAGUGACUUGGCCCUUCAUUUAUUCAUUUAAAAGACCAUUAAACAACAUGAGGAGAGAUCAGCCCCAGGCAUACUUGGAGAGCAAAUAUGCUCUGUGAUGUCAUCUCGAAAAGCUGCCCUUUACACCACCACUGAAUAACUCCUCCUAUAACCUUGGCUUUUAUCGAACCAUGUUCC